GACGAACGCUGGCGGCGUGCCUAAUACAUGCAAGUCGAGCGAAGUUUUUCUGGUGCUUGCACUAGAAAAACUUAGCGGCGAACGGGUGAGUAACACGUAAAGAACCUGCCUCAUAGACUGGGUCAACUAUUGGAAACGAUAGCUAAUACCGGAUAACAGCAUUAACUGCAUGGUUGAUGUUUAAAAGUUGGUUUUGCUAACACUAUGAGAUGGCUUUGCGGUGCAUUAGCUAGUUGGUGGGGUAAAGGCCUACCAAGGCGACGAUGCAUAGCCGACCUGAGAGGGUGAUCGGCCACACUGGGACUGAGACACGGCCCAGACUCCUACGGGAGGCAGCAGUAGGGAAUCUUCCGCAAUGGGCGAAAGCCUGACGGAGCAACGCCGCGUGAGUGAAGAAGGAUUUCGGUUCG
rnacentral:rRNA from 1 species